rnacentral:rRNA from 1 species
UACGGGGGGGGGCAAGCGUUUGUUCGGAAUUACUGGGCGUAAAGGGCUCGUAGGUGGCCAACUAAGUCGGACGUGAAAUCCCCUCGGCUUAACCGGGGAACUGCGUCUGAUACUGGAUGGCUUGAGUUCGGGAGAGGGAUGCGGAAUUCCAGGUGUAGCGGUGAAAUGCGUAGAUAUCUGGAGGAACACCGGUGGCGAAGGCGGCAUCCUGGACCGACACUGACGCUGAGGAGCGAAAGCCAGGGGAGCAAACAGG